UACGUAGGGGGCUAGCGUGGUCCGGAUUUAUUGGGCGUAAAGAGCGUGUAGGCGGCCAAGCAGGUCCGCUGUGAAAACUCGAGGCUCAACCUCGAGACGUCGGUGGAAACCGUUUGGCUAGAGUCCGGAAGAGGAGAGUGGAAUUCCCGGUGUAGCGGUGAAAUGCGCAGAUAUCGGGAAGAACACCCGUGGCGAAGGCGGCUCUCUGGGGGUUUUCUGACGCUGAGGAACGAAAGCCAGGGUAGCGAACGGG
rnacentral:rRNA from 1 species